rnacentral:rRNA from 1 species
UGAAUACGAGACGCUAAGGCGUCGAAGUAGUGUAUGUCAUACUUCCAAGAAAAGCUUGCACUGUCAUAGAUAAAAAACGCCUGUACCAUAACCGACACAGGUGGGUAGGUAGAGUAUACUAAGGGGCGCGAGAUAACUCUCUCUAAGGAACUCGGCAAAAUAACUCCGUAACUUCGGGAGAAGGAGUGCCUUAUUCGUAAGGUUGCAAUAACAAGAUCCAAGCAACUGUUUAUCAAAAACACAGGUCUCCGCUAAGUCGUAAGACGAUGUAUGGGGGCUGACGCCUGCCCAGUGCCAGAAGGUUAAAGAAGUUGGUUAGCAAUUGCGAAGCUGAUAACUGAAGCCCUGGUGAACGGCGGCCGUAACAAUAACGGUCCUAAGGUAGCGAAAUUCCUUGUCGGGUAAGUUCCGACCCGCACGAAAGGCGUAAUGAUUUGGAUACUGUCUCGGAGAGGGGCUCGGUGAAAUAGACUUGUCUGUGAAGAUGCGGACUACCUGCACCAGGACAGAAAGACCCUAUGAAGCUUUACUGUAACUUGAAAUUGAAAUUGGACUUUAUUCGCGCAGUAUAGGUGGGAGGCGUUGAUUAUAAUCUUGUGGGAUUAUUGGAGCCAUCAGUGAGAUACCACUCUUGUAAUGUUAGAUUUCUAACUUUGAAUCAUUAUCUGGUCAAAGAACAGUUUCAGGCGGGCAGUUUGACUGGGGCGGUCGCCUCCUAAACGGUAACGGAGGCGUACAAAGGUUUCCUCUGAACGGUUAGAAAUCGUAUCUAGAGUGUAAAGGCAUAAGGAAGCUUGACUGUGAGACCUACAAGUCGAGCAGGGACGAAAGUCGGUCUUAGUGAUCUGACGGUACUGAGUGGAAAGGCCGUCACUCAACGGAUAAAAGUUACUCUAGGAUAACAGGCUGAUCUCCCCCAAGAGUUCACAUCGACGGGGAGGUUUGGCACCUCGAUGUCGGCUCAUCGCAUCCUGGGGCGGUAGUACGUCCCAAGGGUUGGGCUGUUCGCCCAUGAAGGCGGUACGCGAGCUGGGUUCAGAACGUCGUGAGACAGUUCGGUCCAUAUCCGGUGUAGGCGUUAGAAUAUUGAGAGGAGCCUUCUUUAGUACGAGAGGACCGAGAAGGACAUACCUCUGGUGUACCAGUUAUCGUGCCAACGGUAAACGCUGGGUAGCUAAGUAUGGAGUGGAUAACCGCUGAAAGCAUCUAAGUGGGAAGCCCACCUCAAGAUAAGUAUUCUCAU